ensembl:scaRNA LOC120093055 small Cajal body-specific RNA 3
GAUGGAAGCCGCAGAGCCAGCCAUGUAGACAAAUGAGAAAAAUACCUUCUGUCUGCAGAAGGCAACAGUCCCACAUAAACAUGAGAUCUCUGUGAACUGCCGCUCUAAAUACUGU